GCUGCUGGCCUUAAACUGCAGGCUGAUCAACUGAAUAAAUAAGUGCAAUUUUGUUGGAUUCCAAGUACCAAAUUAUAAGAAUACAGAUAAUUGCAGUGGCAGCAGCUGGUUCUUGUUUCAGCCUCUGACUGAGUGAUGGGCUAGCUGUCCAAAGAAAUCAGCGCAAAUUGGCAUCAAAACAAAUAUUUGCCCGAGGUGGCAGCCAACAAAGCUCAGGCAGCCAAAUGCCUAAUGACAGGAUGAACACUGUGAUCCUCGGCAGCAGACAUAUUGGACACGACUGCGGGCUUCUUUUCACACCAUCAACAGAGACAGAAAGAUACGUGCCAAGCAGGGUGCAAAGUGGCACACCUCGUUGACUGUGUCAAUUCUGGGAAUGUCAGUUGCCUGACAGAGGUAACAGAGAGAGUGAGAGAGAGA